AAUCGCGGAUCAGAAUGCCGCGGUGAAUACGUUCCCGGGUCUUGUACACACCGCCCGUCACACCAUGGGAGUCGGAGAUGCCCGAAGUCUGUGACCUAACCGCAAGGGAGGAGCAGCCGAAGGCAGGUCGGAUGACUGGGGUGAAGUCGUAACAAGGUAGC
rnacentral:rRNA from 1 species